rnacentral:rRNA from 1 species
AACGAACGCUGGCGGCAUGCCUAACACAUGCAAGUCGAACGAGACCUUCGGGUCUAGUGGCGCACGGGUGCGUAACGCGUGGGAACCUGCCCUUAGGUUCGGAAUAACUCUCCGAAAGGGGUGCUAAUACCGGAUAAUGUCUUCGGACCAAAGAUUUAUCGCCUUUGGAUGGGCCCGCGUUGGAUUAGCUAGUUGGUAGGGUAAAAGCCUACCAAGGCGACGAUCCAUAGCUGGUCUGAGAGGAUGAUCAGCCACACUGGGACUGAGACACGGCCCAGACUCCUACGGGAGGCAGCAGUGGGGAAUAUUGGAAAAUGGGCGGAAGCCUGAUCCAGCAAUGCCGCGUGAGUGAUGAAGGCCUUAGGGUUGUAAAGCUCUUUUACCCGGGAUGAUAAUGACAGUACCGGGAGAAUAAGCUCCGGCUAACUCCGUG